AAAAUGAAAAUGCACGUCUGAAUGACAUUAUCAUCAAUCGUAAGUAUUCCUAAUAUUUAUUAGCAGGGUUAUUUCUGGAGAUGGAUACAUGUGUUUGGCAAAAUAAAUGCUAUGUUGUUAGCUGGUGUGGUAGUGUGGGUGCACAUCUAGCCAUUGAUAAGAUUCAAAUUAGAAUUAUAUUUAUUUGUCUCUUUCUGGAGGAAUUCGUAGAGGGUUAACAAAUUCCUGGGGAAUUUGAAUUUGGGAGAAAUUGGAGAAAGAAAAUUGCGUUCACAACCAGGUUUCCUCUGCAGAGCCGUAUCAAUGGGCUUUGGAGGGUUGUAGCUUGCAUUCACAGCUGCAGGAAAUGUCUUUCGAAGAGUAAGGGCACGGAGUUGCUGGGUGCUGUUUUGAUCCUGUGAUUGUAAUUAUUGUUUUUCUUUAUAUAACCUCUUUCUAGAAAUCCCUCAAAUGAAAAGUGACCUCGCCAUUAUUGCUCAAAAGGUAAGUUCCUCUGAUUUUCAUUGCUUUUUAUAAAACUGUUUUUCAAGCAGAGCUGUAGAGACUUGUGAUGUUGGGCUGAUUGAUAGUGUUCAUUAUUUGAUGUAUUUGCACUUUAAUUUAUUGAAGAGAAUAACUAUUUGUCCUCUAUGAACAAGACUGGAAGGACUCCUGUGGAGGAUCUUGAUUCCUCCUCGACUUUUGGAGAAGUGCAACCGGCCCCGUCCACACGGAGACGGAGUUUACCCCAAUCCGAUCUUUUUUUUCGUUGUCUCAAGAAAUAUCUGCGUCCACACGAAACCGCAAAAUGAUGUAGUAUACAUGCCAGACCAGUAUGUGCCGCUGUAAUUCUGACACAGAGAUACACUAAAAACAGAGAAGAAGACUUGGACUAUGCUCAUAAACCUUGCGCGUGGUACACAAACGAACAUGGAACAAUACAUUUAUUAAUCUGUGUUAAUGUUAGUUAAUAAAAAGACAAUCGUUCAGUGUUUGUUCAUGUUUUUGUUGCUGUUACGUGACGUAGAGGUGUCUGACUAGGGGGGAGACGUGGGCUGAUGACGUCAUCGUUUCUGAAAAUAUACGGAUUAGCCGUCCAGACGAAAACGCAAAGACGGCGUUUUCAAAUUUAUCCACUCUGGGACCCGGUUUAAAAAAAUAGCGGUUUCACCUUACGAAAACGCCGGAUGCGUGUGGACGAAACGCCUAUCCGAUAAAAAAUUUGUGCGUAUUCACAGAAACGCGUCUCCGUGUGGACGGGGCCUAAGACUCCAGAGAGGAGACUGAGCCCUUUAAAGAGAGUCCCAUGGUGACACGGUGCUUUCGAGAGACACCACAGGUGUGUGUAACCCUUUUAUGAAUGGGUCAAUGGAAGGCCAUUGUAAAGUAUUUUAGGUACUGUUGGGUGCAGAAAAAUGCUAUGAAAGUGCAGCCCAUUGACAAGUAGAUCUGUUUACAUGUGCAAAGUUUCUUACAUCAGAUUAAAUAUCUGAGGGAUUAAUCUGAAUCAGUUUACAUGGAAACAAAUAGUCAAAUCAUGACGUGCAUAAACAUGCACCAAGCUUUAUUCAGAAUAAUAGCAUUUUGACAUCCGCAGAGCGUUAAUUUCCCUAAAACAACUGCAGAAGUUGUCCUUAACUUGUGUUUUAAGCAAACCAAAAAACGCAGGAGUGGCUAAAUUUUUCCUAUCCAUGAAUUUUCUCUGCUUUGGAUGUACAUGAUUGACCGUGUGACUGUUAACAAUGCAGUCCCCGUGACGGACAUGUGCAUAUGAAAGAACGAUGCCGCUAAAAAUAAAAAGGGGGGAGGGGGUGAUGUUUCCAAUCAGAAUCUUUCAGAUUUAACAGAAUACAAUCAGAAUCAUCCAACUGACGUGUUUACAUGACGCACUUUUUAUUAUGAUCAGCCCUUUAUCCAAAAUGUGUGUCCAAUCGCAGAUGUACUGUAAGCACUUUGGGUUCCUGAUGAAGCACUAUAGUAUAAUAAUAAUAAUGUCUUCUUAUUUUUGUCUUCUCUAGAUACUACAUUGAAGAAGUGGCCGGCAGCCAGCCGAAGGCAGACAGACACAUCUAUUCAUUCGAAGCUCACGGAGCUGAGUGCUACAUGCAUAUAUGUACCUAUAUAGCUACUGGCAAGAUUAUCUGCUCUACCUGGAAGCUGUUAUCUAUGGUUAAAAUUAGAAUAAAAGUGACAAAUUGACACUGCAACAAAUAAUGAGAUAUAAAGUAACAUAAAUGUUUGUCAGUUCAGGGAACCUUAAAUGAGUGUUAUACACAAAGAGUUAGAUCCACAUUUGCUUAAUGUGCGGUCCAUAAAAAUUUAAGCAGGGUUCAAUUAUGUUACAUGUGGUUUAGAAGAAAUGACAAACCACCUCCAUACAACAAAUCACCACUGCGCUCAAAGCCUUAUAGCUGCUAGGUGAUUACUACACUGAUUCGAAUGUAGCAACAAGAAAAAAAGCCACAAUUUAAUAAAUAAAUAAAAAAAACAAAGUGUCUAACAUUUCUCUUUUGCUCCCCUACAAAAAGAGGCAAGUC
rnacentral:lncRNA from 1 species